rnacentral:rRNA from 1 species
CCUACGGGUGGCACCAGUUGCGAAAACUUCACACUGUGGGAAACCACGAUGAGGGGAUUCCAAGUGCCAGCACUAAGUGUUGGCUUUUCACCUGUGUAAAGAGCAGGUGGAAUAAGGGCCGGGUAAGACGGGUGCCAGCCGCCGCGGUAACACCCGCGGCCCGAGUGGUGACCAUUUUUAUUGAGCUUAAAGCGUCCGUAGCCGGUCUGGUAAAUCUCUGGGUAAAUCGAACGGCUCAACCGUUCGAAUACCAGGGAGACUGCUAGACUUGGGGCCGGGAGAGGUCAGAGGUACUCCUGGGGUAGAAGUAAAAUUCUGUAAUCCUAGGAGGACCACCAGUGGCGAAAGCGUCUGACUAGAACGGACCCGACGGUGAGGGACGAAGCCCUGGGGCGCGAACCGGAUUAGAUACCCUUGUAGUC